GUCCUGCCACCCACCAUGCUACUUGUUUUCUGUGUGGUUGACGGCUCCGGGGACCUCGAUUCCGCGGAACCAUCUGGGGUUCCUCUGGUCUAUCUCACCCAACGUCCUCACGUUCACCCACGACGCUGUGGCAGGUGACAGGGUUGGCUUCUGUUUUGAGACAGAGCCCUAUUCCAUCCCCUUUACCUGCACGUUUUGCUCAUCUCUUCAUCUGUUGAUUGACGCUUGGCCGCUGCCCUGCUGGCUGUCGUGAAUGACUUGCUGGGAACAUGGGCGUGUGCGCUGGGGACCCUGGCUUCAGCUCUCGGGGCUGUCUGCCCAGAGUGGGGUUGUGAGGGCACGUGGAACCCUCAUGCUUCGUUUUUCUGGCAGAAUCACCACACUGAUGUCCAGGGCGCCUGCACCCUCUGUGCUCCCCCCAACUGGGCUCAGCUACGUCUGAAGGGUCAAAAACCCCAGUGAGGGUGAUAUCCCGCCCGCCCCUUGCUCUGCCCAGACGGAGCCGCACCUCGCAUGCUUCUCUGUGGACGUUUUAUGUCCCUCUGUUGACUUUUUAUAUCCUUCUGUUGACUUUCCGUCUGUCAUUGUGGGUGAAAUGUCUGCUGCCGCUCAGAUUCUUGAUAUUGUGGAAAUGUGUUUUCUCUUUGGAGCUUGCUUGGAAGUUCUGCAGAUUUACUCCAAGGUGUCUAGGUAUCACCAGGCGGAGGUGUUUUAAAAUUGUAUAAAUGUACAAAUUGGUUUUGCCUGGAA
rnacentral:lncRNA from 1 species